rnacentral:antisense_RNA from 1 species
CCCUCUUGCCAUAUUCCAAUAACACAGUCUCAUUUAAUUUUUCUCCCUU